rnacentral:rRNA from 1 species
AGAGUUUGAUCCUGGCUCAGAACGAACGCUGGCGGCAUGCUUAACACAUGCAAGUUGAACGAAGAAUAAGCCUUCGGGUUUAUUACUGAGUAGCAAACGGGUGAGUAACGCGUGGGAAUCUGCCUUUAUGUGGGGGACAACUGAGGGAAACUUCAGCUAAUACCGCAUACGCUCUACGGAGGAAAGGCUUCAUUUUCAGUAAUUAGUGAUUAGCAAAAUUUAGUAAUGAGACAUAUUUUUGAGUUGAGGCUGAAAGGCUUCAAUUUUAAGGGUUAUCUCCUUACUUAGUGCUAAUUCCUAAUUACUGAAGCUAAAUGAAGUCGCAUAAAGAGGAGCCCGCGUCAGAUUAGGUAGUUGGUGGGGUAAAAGCCUACCAAGCCAAUGAUCUGUAGCUGGUCUGAGAGGAUGAUCAGCCACACUGGGACUGAGACACGGCCCAGACUCCUACGGGAGGCAGCAGUGGGGAAUAUUGGACAAUGGGGGAAACCCUGAUCCAGCAAUGCCGCGUGAAUGAAGAAGGCCUUAGGGUUGUAAAGUUCUUUCACCUGUGAAGAUAAUGACGGUAGCAGGAGAAGAAGCCCCGGCAAACUCCGUGCCAGCAGCCGCGGUAAGACGGAGGGGGCUAGCGUUGUUCGGAAUGACUGGGCGU